rnacentral:rRNA from 1 species
AAUGAACGCUGGCGGCAGGCCUAAAACAUGCAAGUCGAACGCCCUAGCAAUAGGGAGUGGCGCACGGGUGAGUAACAUGCGGGAAUAUGCCUUUUGGUACGGAACAACGUUUGGAAACGAACGCUAAUACCGUAUGGUCCCUCCGGGGUAAAGAUUUAUCGCCAAAAGAUUAGCCCGCACUAGAUUAGCUAGUUGGUAAGGUAAUGGCUUACCAAGGCGACGAUCUAUAGCUGUUCUGAGAGAAAGAUCAGCCACACUGGGACUGAGACACGGCCCAGACUCCUACGGGAGGCAGCAGUUAGGAAUAUUGGACAAUGGGCGCAAGCCUGAUCCAGCCAUGCCGCGUGCAGGAAGAAGGCCUUCGGGUUGUAAACUGCUUUUGUACGGAACGAAACGGUCUAGGUUAAUACCCUGGGCUAAUGACGGUACCGUAAGAAUAAGCACCGGCUAACUACGUGCCAGCCGCCGCAGUAAAAC